CGACCUCAGAGCAGGCGAGACUACCCGCUGAAUUUAAGCAUAUUACUAAGCGGAGGAAAAGAAACUAACAAGGAUUCCCCCAGUAGCGGCGAGCGAACAGGGAAGAGUCCAGCACCGAACCCCGCAGGCUGCCGCCUGUCGUGGCAUGUGGUGUUUGGGAGGGUCCACUACCCCGACGCCUCGCGCCGAGCCCAAGUCCAACUUGAAUGAGGCCACGGCCCGUAGAGGGUGCCAGGCCCGUAGCGGCCGGUGCGAGCGUCGGCGGGACCUCUCCUUCGAGUCGGGUUGCUUGAGAGUGCAGCUCCAAGUGGGUGGUAAACUCCAUCUGAGACUAAAUAUGACCACGAGACCGAUAGCGAACAAGUACCGUGAGGGAAAGUUGAAAAGAACUUUGAAGAGAGAGUUCAAAAGUACGUGAAACCGUUCUGGGGUAAACGUGAGAAGUCCGAAAGGUCGAACGGGUGAGAUUCACGCCCAUCCGGCCACUGGCCUCCGCCCUCGGCAGAUGGGGCCGGCCGCCCGCGCGGAGCAAUCCGCGGCGGGGUCGUGUCCGGUUGCCUUUCCACUCGCCGCGGGGUGGGGCCGUUCCGGUGUGCGGUGGGCCGCACUUCUCCCCUAGUAGGACGUCGCGACCCGCUGGGUGCCGGCCUACGGCCCGGGUGCGCAGCCUGUCCUUCCGCGGGCCUCGGUUCGCGUCUGUUGGGCAGAGCCCCGGUGUCCUGGCUGGCUGCCCGGCGGUAUAUCUGGAGGAGUCGAUUCGCCCCUUUGGGCGCUCGGGCUCCCGGCAAGCGCGCGCGGUUCUUCCCGGAUGACGGACCUACCUGGCCCGGCCCCGGACCCGCGCCGCUGUUGGCUCGGGAUGCUCUCGGGCGGAAUAAUCGCUCCCGUCAGCGGCGCUUCAGCUUUGGACAAUUUCACGACCCGUCUUGAAACACGGACCAAGGAGUCUAACAUGUGCGCGAGUCAUUGGGCUGUACGAAACCUAAAGGCGUAAUGAAAGUGAAGGUCUCGCCUUGCGCGGGCCGAGGGAGGAUGGGGCUUCCCCGCCCUUCACGGGGCGGCGGCCUCCGCACUCCCGGGGCGUCUCGUCCUCAUUGCGAGGUGAGGCGCACCUAGAGCGUACACGUUGGGACCCGAAAGAUGGUGAACUAUGCCUGGCCAGGACGAAGUCAGGGGAAACCCUGAUGGAGGUCCGUAGCGAUUCUGACGUGCAAAUCGAUCGUCGGAGCUGGGUAUAGGGGCGAAAGACUAAUCGAACCAUCUAGUAGCUGGUUCCCUCCGAAGUUUCCCUCAGGAUAGCUGGUGCUCGUACGAGUCUCAUCCGGUAAAGCGAAUGAUUAGAGGCCUUGGGGCCGAAACGACCUCAACCUAUUCUCAAACUUUAAAUGGGUGAGAUCUCCGGCUUGCUUGAUAUGCUGAAGCCGCGAGCAAACGACUCGGAUCGGAGUGCCAAGUGGGCCACUUUUGGUAAGCAGAACUGGCGCUGUGGGAUGAACCAAACGCCGAGUUAAGGCGCCCGAAUCGACGCUCAUGGGAAACCAUGAAAGGCGUUGGUUGCUUAAGACAGCAGGACGGUGGCCAUGGAAGUCGGAAUCCGCUAAGGAGUGUGUAACAACUCACCUGCCGAAGCAACUAGCCCUGAAAAUGGAUGGCGCUGAAGCGUCGUGCCUAUACUCGGCCGUCAGUCUGGCAGUCAUGGCCGGUCCUUGCGGCCGGCCGCGAAGCCCUGACGAGUAGGAGGGUCGCGGCGGUGGGCGCAGAAGGGUCUGGGCGUGAGCCUGCCUGGAGCCGCCGUCGGUGCAGAUCUUGGUGGUAGUAGCAAAUACUCCAGCGAGGCCCUGGAGGGCUGACGCGGAGAAGGGUUUCGUGUGAACAGCCGUUGCACACGAGUCAGUCGAUCCUAAGCCCUAGGAGAAAUCCGAUGUUGAUGGGGGCCGUCAUAGCAUGAUGCGCUUUGUGCUGGCCCCCGUUGGGCGAAAGGGAAUCCGGUUCCUAUUCCGGAACCCGGCAGCGGAACCGAUACAAGUCGGGCCCCUCUUUUAGAGAUGCUCGUCGGGGUAACCCAAAAGGACCCGGAGACGCCGUCGGGAGAUCGGGGAAGAGUUUUCUUUUCUGCAUGAGCGUUCGAGUUCCCUGGAAUCCUCUAGCAGGGAGAUAGGGUUUGGAACGCGAAGAGCACCGCAGUUGCGGCGGUGUCCCGAUCUUCCCCUCGGACCUUGAAAAUCCGGGAGAGGGCCACGUGGAGGUGUCGCGCCGGUUCGUACCCAUAUCCGCAGCAGGUCUCCAAGGUGAAGAGCCUCUAGUCGAUAGAAUAAUGUAGGUAAGGGAAGUCGGCAAAUUGGAUCCGUAACUUCGGGAUAAGGAUUGGCUCUGAGGAUCGGGGCGUGUCGGGCUUGGUCGGGAAGUGGGUCAGCGCUAACGUGCCGGGCCUGGGCGAGGUGAGUGCCGUAGGGGUGCCGGUAAGUGCGGGCGUUUAGCGCGGGCGUGGUCUGCUCUCGCCGUUGGUCGGCCUCGUGCUGGCCGGCGGUGCAGGAUGCGCGCGCCUGCGCGGCGUUCGCGCCCCGGUGCUUCAACCUGCGUGCAGGAUCCGAGCUCGGUCCCGUGCCUUGGCCUCCCACGGAUCUUCCUUGCUGCGAGGCCGCGUCCGCCUUAGCGUGCUCCUCCGGGGGCGCGCGGGUGCGCGGAUUCUCUUCGGCCGCCAUUCAACGAUCAACUCAGAACUGGCACGGACUGGGGGAAUCCGACUGUCUAAUUAAAACAAAGCAUUGCGAUGGCCCUAGCGGGUGUUGACGCAAUGUGAUUUCUGCCCAGUGCUCUGAAUGUCAACGUGAAGAAAUUCAAGCAAGCGCGGGUAAACGGCGGGAGUAACUAUGACUCUCUGGACGACCUUGCGUGUUUGGGGCCGGGUACGCCGUUGGCAGUGGUCGCGGCUGGGCUGCCUGAGGCCCUCCGUGCUGUCGGCUCUGAGGAAGCAGGAGCAAGGAAGAGGAAGACGUUGCGCCCGCCAUCCAAGCAGCGGUCUGGUGGUGGCCCUCCGCUCUCCAAGCGGAAGCGCCGCCGGUGGGAAUAUGCCAGAUGUCAGGAUGCCUUCAGGAAGAAUCGCGCGCGCUGCGUGCGUGGUCUCCUGGAUGGCACCCUGCUCCAGCCGCCGUCGAACAUCCCUGGGCUGGUGGACUUCUGGCGCAGCCUCUUCACGACAGAGCCACCUUCCAACGCUGGCUCCAUUCCCGACCGGCUUCUCCCGCGCUCGGAGUCUGUUGACUUUGAGCGCCUAUGGAGGCCGAUCACUGCAGAAGAGGUUGCGGCCGCCCUGCCGCCCAGAGGCUCCGUUGCCGGCCCUGACGGCCUCUCGCCGGUGCAGCUGCGCCGCCUUCCAGCGGAGGUCACCACCAAACUCCUAAACCUUUUCCUGCUCACCCGCAAGCUCCCCCCUUCCCUCCUCCGAGCCAGGACCUCUUUGCUGCCUAAGACAGCCGCCCCAGCAUCCCCCGCUGACUUUCGGCCCAUCACCGUCUGCUCGGUGCUAGCCCGAACCUUCCAUAAGGUUCUGGCGACUCGCCUUAUGCAGAUGUGUGCUGUGGACGAACGUCAGCGGGCUUUCAUCCCAAGGGAUGGGAUGCUGGAGAACACUUUCCUACUCGACCGGAUACUCGUCGGCGCCGUCCGCCGCUGUCGUUCUGUGUUCAUGGCAUCCCUCGAUGUGUCCAAGGCGUUCGAUUCGUUGGACCAUGCGGCUUUGCGUCCUGUGCUUAAAGCCCAUGGUCUGCCGGACGAAUUCAUUGACUACGUCGAGGGCUGCUAUGCGGACAGCACGACGGUAAUUGCGGGGGGUGGCGACGAGUCCCCGGCCGUGCGGCCAGCAAGAGGUGUUCGGCAAGGAGAUCCUCUGUCCCCUCUCCUGUUCAAUUUCGCUGUUGAUUAUGUUCUAGAUCAGCUGCCCUCACACGUAGGUGUCAAGGUGUUGGGCCGCCAGACGAACGCGGCGGCCUUCGCGGAUGACAUCCUGCUCUUCGCCUCCACGAGGGGGGGCCUGCAGUCCCUUAUCAACGCAGCAGUAGCAGCCCUCGACCAGCUGGGGCUGCGUGUUAACCCGCGGAAGUGUCUCACCCUCGCACUCGUGGCGUCCGGCCGCGAGAAGAAAGUGAAAGUGGAUGCGAGCGUCACCUUCACGGCCGGCGAAACCACCAUGCCGGCGUUGGGAGUGGGUGAGACCUUCCGCUACCUGGGACUGCAGUUCUCCUCCUCUGGGCGGUGUCUCUUCCAUCCGAGGCACCACAUCGAGGAGCAGCUGUCGAUCAUCACGCGGGCGCCGCUGAAGCCGCAGCAGCGGCUCUUUGCACUUCGUGAGGUCCUUCUCCCGGGCCUGUAUCAUGGCCUAGCACUGAGUCGCACCCGCAUCGGUGCGCUCAAGGCCAUGGACAACUGUGUUCGAGCCGCCGUGAGGAGAUGGUUCCGCCUCCCUGCCGACACCCCCUUGGGCUACUUUCACGCUCCAAUUGCCCAUGGGGGCCUUGGGAUUCCAUCAGCCCGCUGGAUAGGGCCAACCCUGAGGCGGGGCAGGCUCCUCACCCUGUUGCAGCUCGAGACCACCACCACCGACGCAGACCUGGGGGAGGCACGACACGAAGUGGCGGCGCUUGAACGACACCUCACGUGGGAGGGCCAUCUGCUGCCAACGGCUGCAAAAGUUGGUGAGAUGUGGGCGGCGCGCCUGCAUAUUUCCUUCGACGGGGCAGCUCUCUCGUCGUCAGCCAGGACAUCAGGCCAACAUAGCUGGGUCGAGGACACCAGUCGCUUCCUGUCUGGCCGUGACUACGUCGCAUGCAUCCGCACGCGCAUUAACGCUAUACCAUCCAAGGCGCGCAGGAGUCGCGGCCGAGACAGGGAGAAGAUGUGUCGCGCAAGAUGCAACGCCGUCGAGACCGCGAACCACGUCGUCCAGGGCUGCGGGCUGACCAGCCGAGCCCGGGUCCGACGACACGACGCGGUUGUGAAAUACG